rnacentral:misc_RNA from 1 species
AACUAUCAAGACCUUUCAUUUAUUUGAAAUCAGUCUUGGACUUGGAUGUUUUUGCCGUGCCUAGCUCUCGGCUCAUCUGAAAUAUAUUAGCUGGAUCCAUUAUACCAACUUGGUUCUUACUCAGCGUGAUAAUUGUCAUUCGCUGAGGACACUUCUAAAACACUUGAGGUGGCCAGGCAAUUUAAUGGUUUAUCUGCUUCUAACCGUCUACCUUUGUAGACAAUACUUUUAUGA